ensembl:lncRNA
AUUGUGAUGGCCUGUCCCCUGUCACCUGGCAGCAUGCACUCAGGCAGUACCCUGGCUGGCCCAGGGUUCUAUGGCUGCUAAGUCACUAUGUAGUCUUCACACAGAUGCAAAGGGCCCUUUAAGAGAAAAACUCCACCCACUUCCGCUUUCUUUCUACUGCUCCUCCGAAGGGCGGUCAGGGCUUUUCCUGCCUCCCUCUUCUUCUCUUUCUCCCUCUCUCUCUGUCUCCCUCUUUUUCUCAUCUCUCCUCCUCUCCCUUCCCUUUCUCCAUUCCCUUCCCUUUCUAAUAAAACCUCUCACUUAAGUUCUGUCUGCCCGGCGAGUUUGUUUCUUGCUCGCCAUGGGAUCCGCCGAGGGAUGCACGAAGGUUCCCUCAUGCAGUAUUGUAACACUUCCAACAUACAAUGGCACAGAAUAUGAAUCACCACUCGAAAGGGAGUACAGUGAGUAGACCAAAGGAAGACUGAAACCCAACAGGGCAAAACCCAAAUCCUGUAGCUCCAUGCCUGAGGUCGAAGGGCCUUUCCCUUUGAUAGCUCCUCCCUUCCAGCUUUGCUGCCUGAAAGAGUAAAAAUCUGGCUAUGUAGUCUAGUAUGUCCUCAAACUCAUGAGCCUGCUGCCUCUGCCUCCUUAAUGCUGGCGUGACAUAUGUGUACCAGAGUGGAUGGCUCAGACUCUCAUUCAUUUUUUAAGGCAGUAUGCUAUUACAGUAAGUGCACAUGCUGUGUUUUGUUUACCCAUUUAUCCAUCAAUUGACUCGUACCUAUCUCACUCUAAGCUUCCUAUACCUUGCCCACCUACCCACCCCAUUCCGAGCAGGUCCUAGCAAAUUUGUUUUAACAAAGCAGAAUUUUUCUCCAACACUGUAGAAUGAGGUUUAGAUAGGUGGUCUUUGAUGUUGAGUGCCAUGAUUUUUUUUUCUGAGGAUUGUCUGUGUUCUCUCCCUCCAGAAAUACACAUCUCUGAAUCACCUCAACAACUGGAAAAUAGGACCUCAUGAAAUUUAAAAGUUCCUGUGUAGUAAAGGCAGCAAUCAACAGAGUGAAAAGAUGGACUGUGGAAUGGAAGAAUAUCUUUGCCAAUUUUAUAUCUGAUAGAGCAUUAAUACCUAGAUUUUUUUUUUUUUUUUGGUUUUUCUAAACAGGAUUUCUCUGUGACUUUGGAGGCUGUCCCAGAGCUAGCUCUUAUAGACCAGGUUGGUCUGGAAUUCACAGAGAUCUGCCUGCCUCUGCCUCCCAAGUGCUGGGACUAAAGGUGUGCGCCACCACUGCCUGGCAAUACCUAUAAUUUAUAAAGAGCUAAAAAUUUAAAAUCCCAGACAGAUAGGCAAAUGAAUAUAACAAACAUUCUCAAAAGACAAAAUAGGAACCCAAUAAAUACAUGAAAAAGUGUAAAAGUGUUCAACAGUCCUCACCAUCAGGGAAACAAAAGAAAAAAAAGAAGAAAUGGUGGAGGAGGAGAAGCUAUAGCUGUUUAAGCCGGGCAUUGUGGUGCAUGCCUUUACUACCAACUCUUAGGGUGCAAAGGCAGGGAGAUCUUUGUGAGCUCUAGCCUAACUUGUCUAGGCUAGGACUGUCAGGGUUACACAGAGAAACCCUGUCUCAAAAACCAAACACCCAUCACCACCAUCAACAAAAACAAUUUCACCCUAGCUAUGUAGCUAUUAAAAAAAUGAUAACAAAGUAAGAUGACGAACGCCUUUAAUCCCAGCACUUGGUAGGCAGAGGCCCGCAGGUCUCUGUGAGUUUGAAGCCACAUCAGGGUGAGUUCCAGGAGAGACUCCAAAGCCCUGUCUCAAAAAGAAAACCCAAAAAGAUAUGAAUAUUUAAAGAGAACUGUGUGGGGAGAGGAAGGGGGUAUCAAGGUAGAUGGGAGGGGUGAACAAGGAGAGAUAAGGGGAGGGGGGAAAUGAAGGCAAAUACUGAAUGCUCUCACAGGCAGAAGUUAGAUUCCUGUGUACAUGUUAGUAAUACAACAAAACAAACAGAAUAGAAUAAAUAUCAAAUGGUGACUUUCCUAAUAAAAGAUGGCUGUUCGUCAAUGCAUGUUAGGCAGUGAAUAAAGACUGGUAAUUCUGCAGUCUUUCUUGAUCUGUUGUGGCUUAGGAAAUGGUUCUCCAAAGUUGGGUCCUUGAGAGCACCCUAAGGAACAAAGUCUCUCUCUCUGACCUUCUGUUGUCCUCCUCUCUUUCAUCCCUUAUUCUCGCUUUCCCUGAGGCGAGCCACAGAAACUAAAAUACCUUUUCCUCAAGGCAGGUCAUAGAAAUCAGAAGUCAAAGCCAACCAUGAAACCUAAAAAUAUUAUUUUAAC